CCUACACAUGCAAGUCGAGCGAGACCUUCGGGUCUAGCGGCGGACGAGUUAGUAAGCCUUGGGAACGUACCUUUUGCUUCGGAAUAGCCUCGGGAAACUGGGAGUAAUACCGAAUGUGCCCUUUGGGGGAAAGAUUUAUCGGCAAAAGAUCGGCCCGCGUCUGAUUAGAUAGUUGGUGGGGUAAUGGCCUACCAAGUCUGCGAUCAGUAGCUGGUUUGAGAGGAUGAUCAGCAACACUGGGACUGAGACACGGCCCAGACUCCUACGGGAGGCAGCAGUGGGGAAUCUUAGACAAUGGGCGCAAGCCUGAUCUAGCGAUGCCGCGUGAGUGACGAAGGCCUUAGGGUCGUAAAGCUCUUUCGCCAGGGAUGAUAAUGACAGUACCUGGUAAAGAAACCCCGGCUAACUCCGUGCCAGCAGCCGCGGUAAUACGGAGGGGGUUAGCGUUGUUCGGAAUUACUGGGCGUAAAGCGCACGUAGGCGGAUUAGAAAGUUGGGGGUGAAAUCCCAGGG
rnacentral:rRNA from 1 species